rnacentral:rRNA from 1 species
UGAGGAAUAUUGGGCAAUGCCCGCAAGGGUGACCCAGCAACGCCGCGUGGAGGAUGAAUGUCGUAAGAUUGUAAACUCCUGUUAGAGGGGAAGAAUAGUACCGGUUGGACCGGUAUAUGACUGUACCCUCAGAGAAAGCCCCGGCUAACUACGUGCCAGCAGCCGCGGUAAUACGUAGGGGGCAAGCGUUGUCCGGAUUUACUGGGUGUAAAGGGCGCGCAGGCGGGAUAAAAAGUCAGUGGUGAAAUCCUACAGCUUAACUGUAGAACUGCCUUUGAUACUUUUAUUCUUGAGUUCGGGAGAGAGAGACGGAAUUCCAGGUGUAGUGGUGAAAUACGUAGAUAUCUGGAAGAACACCAGUUGCGAAGGCGGUCUCUUGGACCGACACUGACGCUGAGGCGCGAAAGCGUGGGGAGCAAACA